rnacentral:rRNA from 1 species
GUCCACGCCCUAAACGAUGCGAACUGGACGUUGGGAGCAAUUAGGCUCUCAGUGUCGAAGCUAACGCGUUAAGUUCGCCGCCUGGGGGAGUACGGUCGCAAGACUGAAACUCAAAGGAAUUGACGGGGGCCCGCACAAGCGGUGGAGUAUGUGGUUUAAUUCGAUGCAACGCGAAGAACCUUACCUGGCCUUGACAUCCACGGAAUCCUUGAGAGAUCAGGGAGUGCCUUCGGGAACCGUGAGACAGGUGCUGCAUGGCUGUCGU